AGAGGAUCCUCCCGACCCUUUGAAGAUCUCUCUCUUCGCUCAAUCUCCUUUGGCUUCGCGGCCCCUGCAAAAUCUCCUUUUCUUUUCGCUUUAUCCAGGAGACCCCAUCUGGAAGAUGAUCAUUGUGUCAUCAUAUGUUCUGAACCCCCCGAAUGCGUCGUCUGCUGCGGAAUGAGGGAGCUCCAGUGAUGGCAGAUUGCUGCAUGGUUUUCUCGAAUGCGGGCUUUCUCAUGGAGGCUCCGCGCACGAAUGGGUGAGACAUCGAGAGGAAGCUAGUGGUUCAACUCUACGCUCUUGAAGAUGGAGUUCAAUUGGGGAAAUCUUGCACGAGUGUGCAUGCUUGCUAAGAUUCCCAGCCAGUGCCUAUCCCGAAAACAGGUGCUGCAGCCAUGGGAUCCGAAUCCGAUGAGGACCCGAUUGCCUGUUGUUGUAGCUGGUGCUGGAUCGGGAAUGCUUCCUCGUUGAUCAGAGAGUUCAGGAACGAGGAGAACACAUCGUCCCCGCCGCAGUUGAGGUCCUCCUCCUCCUCGUUAGACAGUCCGUGGUGGCUGCUUCUCAAGCCCAUCACAUGGUAAUGCUCGGCACCCGGCAAAUAACCAGCUUGGCCGCCGUGAGCCGCCGCAGUCCCAUUUUGGUACACAGCCUCCAUGUUAUUCGCACUUUGGAGCUGAUCAUUUACUUUGAUGAUGGCUGGGCUGCCGCUGCUGGUUUCUUCGAGGCCGGAAGAGAUGGGGCUAGGGUUAGGGCUUCGGGGGCGAGGUGCCGGUUUGGCAGAAGGAGCUUUCGCCGGAGGAUUGCUGCUGGAGUUCUGGGUUUCUGGAUUGAGCGGCUUGUGUGUCCUCGGAUCGAUCCCUUGACUGAUGAGCUUCUUGCUCAGGCGCUGGUGGCGAAUCAGUGAGUGGAAGAGAGAAGUAAGCGAGCGACCAGAGCGAGCGAGGAUAUCGAAACCCUAAUCGGCCCCUCCCGAAACAUUUCAAGAUUCAAGAAUGCACGAAACCCUAGCCAAGAUCGAGAGAAGCUCAAACCCGGAUCGAUCCCGACUCGACGAUCUUCGAAAUCGGGUCGGGGAGGAGGAGGAGGAGGGUUACC